rnacentral:rRNA from 1 species
GACGAACCGAGCGAACGUUGUUCGGAAUCACUGGGCUUAAAGGGCGCGUAGGCGGGCUGUCAAGUCUGGGGUGAAAUCCCGCGGCUCAACCGUGGAACUGCCUCAGAUACUGACGGUCUCGAGGGAGGUAGGGGCGAGCGGAACUGAUGGUGGAGCGGUGAAAUGCGUUGAUAUCGUUUGGAACGCCAAAGGUGAAAACAGGUCGCUGGGAGUGUGCUGACGCUGAGACACGAAAGCCAGGGGAGCAAACGGG